UACGAGUGCCUCAAGCGUUAUCCGGAAUUAUUGGGCGUAAAGGUUGUGUAGGUGGUCGUGUUAGUCUCUUGUCAAAUUCUUCGGCUUAACCGGGGGCUCGCAAGGGAAACGGCACGACUAGAGGAUGCGAGGGGUCUGCGGAACUCAUAGUGUAGCGGUGAAAUGCGUUGAUAUUAUGGGGAACACCAAAAGCGAAGGCAGCAGACUGGAGCACUCCUGACACUGAAACAAGAAAGCGUGGGUAGCGAAUGGG
rnacentral:rRNA from 1 species